rnacentral:rRNA from 1 species
AUUGAACGCUGGCGGCAUGCUUUACACAUGCAAGUCGAACGGUAACAGGCCUUCGGGUGCUGACGAGUGGCGCACGGGUGAGUAAUGCAUCGGAACGUACCCAGAGGUGGGGGAUAACGCAGCGAAAGCUGUGCUAAUACCGCAUGUGAUCUGAGGAUGAAAGUGGGGGACCGAGCAGCAAUGUUUGGCCUCGCGCCUUUGGAGCGGCCGAUGUCGGAUUAGCUAGUUGGUGGGGUAAAGGCCUACCAAGGCGACGAUCCGUAGCUGGUCUGAGAGGAUGACCAGCCACACUGGGACUGAGACACGGCCCAGACUCCUACGGGAGGCAGCAGUGGGGAAUUUUGGACAAUGGGCGCAAGCCUGAUCCAGCAAUGCCGCGUGCGGGAAGAAGGCCUUCGGGUUGUAAACCGCUUUUGGCAGGAACGAAACGGUGUCCGCUAAUACCGGGCGCUAAUGACGGUACCUGCAGAAUAAGCACCGGCUAACUACGUG